AAGCCCUGGAUGUCCUCCUCUCCGGUUUUCAACGAUUGAAGCUACUCCUGUUUUAUAUCAGUGCUGCAAUGAAAGCAACGUAUACAAAGGAAACAUUCACAGGUUCUGAGGAGUUCUUGACAGCCUCUAUUGCGUGUACUUUGCAGGCUUGAAAGGACUGCAUUGCUAUAUUAUGGCUGUAAUAUAUAAUGGACAAGCAGCUGUAUUUUUGACAAGAAAAGAACAACUGCAAUUCAGCCUGUAACAGCAGCUAAAACAAUUUCUGGAGUGCUCAUAAGACAUUUCUAAUUUCUGGAGUG